AGUUUUGCUUUUUGUUCUUUUUUCCUUCUCCCAGUCAGGAAACUGAGUAGAAAGUCUCUGGUUCUAUCUAAUUCUUGUCUUUAGAAUCUCCCCUGUCCCAUCUUGAGUAACAGCUCUUGGGGAGAUGUUAUGACAGUUACCUUUACAAACUGAACCUAAGAUUUCUACUAAAAUCUUAGUAAACAAGUUUCCUGAUUAAGGUCCCACUAAGCUGAUUUUCUUCUAUUUAAUAUGUUACCCCAGCUAUUAAUCCAGACUUCUGAAACAAACUCCUCCUUUCUUAAACGAAUUAGUAUCCUUUUGUUACCUUUCUAAACAGAUGAUGGUAGCUUUUAAAAAUAAAUGCACCAUAAUUUCCUCACACCUAUGAUUCCAUUUCCCCACUAAUUCAGUUUGGCUUUGUAACUAAUUGCUACCCCUCCACUAACCAUGUAUUUAAUGAUCAAUCUUGACUAACAAUUCAAGAUCGGCAGAUCUCAACAAGAUACUCUGGCUGACUUUACAGUUCUAGUUUGUCUAAGGCUCCAUGUGUUAUUCUUAUACUUCCUUAGGAGUAAGAUAAAGAUGAUGAUAAACGCAGUGGCAGCCAAUACCUACUAAGUCCUUACUAACAAGGCGGUUUUAAGUACUUUAUAAGUAUUAAUCUAACCAUACAAAAUGUACGCUAUUAUUACUCAAAUUUUCCAAGUAAGGAAUUAAUGCACAGAGAAGGUAAGUAAAUUGCCCAAGAAUAGAACUAGUAUAGAACCAAGCCUAGAUCCGAACCCAGCCAGUCUUGUCUCCAGGGCUCUCAUUCUGAACCUCUAUUGCUAUGCUGCCUCUCAAUAUAAACAAGAAUUUACCUCAGAGCUCAUAAAAUAGAGUUUCACUUAACCAAGCAAACUGAACUAUAGCUAAACAAAAACCCAGAUUUACAGCCCCUUUCUCAUAAGGCAGUUUGCAGAGGUUCUAAAGCAAAGCAAGAAAUAACCACUUUACUAUAUCACAAAGAAAUCUGAAGGAGGCAAUUCUGAGAAAGAAUCUUUUGUUUAGCCAACAAUGCAGAAGUUCAGCUGAGGCUGCACAAGCACGGUUACACUCAUAUUCUCCUAAUUAUGCUGCAUGCAAUUAAAGACAAGUUUCAGAUAGGAUUACCUUGUUUUCUUCUAAGUUCCUUUUCAACUUUUCUUCCAGGUCCCUGGUCUCCUCUAAGCCCUUAAGUUUUAUCUGCUCAUAAUUUUCAUAUGCUUCUUUAAGCUGCUCUUGUAAUACUUGGUACUCCUUUUCAAUCUGUGAAAUUUCCCCCUAAAAAUGAAUUGCAAAACAAU